rnacentral:rRNA from 1 species
GAUGAACGCUAGCUACAGGCUUAACACAUGCAAGUCGAGGGGAAACGAUAUUGGAAGCUUGCUUCCGAUAGGCGUCGACCGGCGCACGGGUGAGUAACGCGUAUCCAACCUGCCCACCACUUGGGGAUAACCUUGCGAAAGUAAGACCAAUACCCAAUGAUAUCCAUAGAAGACAUCUGAAAUGGAUUAAAGAUUUAUCGGUGAUGGAUGGGGAUGCGUCUGAUUAGCUUGUUGGCGGGGUAACGGCCCACCAAGGCGACGAUCAGUAGGGGUUCUGAGAGGAAGGUCCCCCACAUUGGAACUGAGACACGGUCCAAACUCCUACGGGAGGCAGCAGUGAGGAAUAUUGGUCAAUGGGCGAGAGCCUGAACCAGCCAAGUAGCGUGCAGGAUGACGGCCCUAUGGGUUGUAAACUGCUUUUAUAAGGGAAUAAAGUGGGAGUCGUGACUCCUUUUGCAUGUACCUUAUGAAUAAGGACCGGCUAAUUCCGUGCCAGCCGCCGCCGUAA